GACAGAGGGUGCAAACGUUGUUCGGAAUUACUGGGCGUAAAGCGCGUGUAGGCUGCUUCGCAAGUCGGAUGUGAAAGCCCUGGGCUCAACCCAGGAAGUGCAUUCGAAACUGCAGAGCUGGAGUCCUGGAGAGGAAGGCGGAAUUCUCGGUGUAGAGGUGAAAUUCGUAGAUAUCGAGAGGAACACCGGUGGCGAAGGCGGCCUUCUGGACAGUGACUGACGCUGAGACGCGAAAGCGUGGGGAGCGAACGGG
rnacentral:rRNA from 1 species